rnacentral:lncRNA from 1 species
AUAGUAUUAGUAAGCAAAUAUAUAUAGUGUAGCUAUUAAGAGUACGGAGACCUCUUUACUUCUAAGUCCUUUUUGAUGAUGAAACUUUCGAAUUAACGAUCAGCUCCAUUAGACUUGAUCUAGUGUAUUUGAAGUAUUUAGAAAAUAUUUUUUUUGAAUUUUCGAUAUUAUUUACCUAAUGAUCAAAAUAAUUCAAAAUCAAUAAUUUUUAAUGAUUGAUCAAUGUCGUUUGCAAGUUCAACAAUGCACAAAUAUUCAAAUAAGAUAAAAUUUUGAUAAAAAUUUUUUUAUAUUAUUUCUGAUCGAAAAUUUAGUACUACAUCAUCAUUUUUUUAUGAGAUAUUUAUUUUCAACUAUUAAUUUUGAGUCGUUUUUAUUACUAAAUAAAUAAUAUUGAAAAAUCAUAAAAUUUAUUUUCUAGAUAGUUUCAACACGCUAGAUCAAGUCUACACUACAACAGAAUUAGGUUAUAGGGACACAUGUUUGGGACACUUUUGAGUAAGUGUCCCAUUUAUACUAAAACUUAAAAACACAUAUACUAAUACUUAAAUAUAAAGUCCAAUCCAACCAAAAAUAAAAGAUUACUCUACUCAACCCACCGCACCCAGUCCAUUUGGUCCGAUUACAAACAGAAAAGAAAAAAAAAAAAAAAAUCAAUUACCAUCUUUUCUUCUCUCUUCACUCAAUCCACUGAAAUUUUAGACGAAGAGGCUUUACUGUCGUCCUCCUCCGCCACCGCAGCCAACGAGAUAGAAUUUUGGCGGUUGCUAAAUGCUUAAAUAAGUGUUGGUAAAUUAGCAGCACUCUUUUAGGUUAUAGCGACACUCUUUAACUGUCACUAUAUACCUAGCGACCCCACAUAUAGCAACACUUUUAAAAGUGUCGGUAAUUUUAGCUAGCAGCACUUUUUUGACAUGUGCCUAUAUUUAAAAGUGUCGCUAUAGACCGUUUUUGUUGUAGUGCUAACGAAGCCGAUAUAUCGUCGAUUUUAAAGUUACAUUAUCGAAAAUAACUUAGAAACACGGAAAUCUCCGUGCUUCUAAUAACACGAGACACCUACUCAAUAUAUAUAUAUAUAUAUAUAUAGAGUGAGGCUACUAUGCUUCUGGAAGCACGGAGCCUUCCGUGCUUCCAGGUCAUUUUUCAUGUUGCGACUUUUGAAUCGUCAAUCGGUUCCGUUAAACUUAAUCUAGAGUAUUUGAAGUACCUAGAAAAUAAAUUAUGUGAUUUUUCGAUUUUAUUUGCCUAGUGAACGAAGGGGCUCAAAAUCAACGGCUGAAAAUAAAAAUUUUACAAAACGUGAUAAUAUGACAUUAAAAUUUUAGAUCAAAGAUAUCGAUCUUGUUUUAUAUAGUAUAAAAAAUUUUCUAUCAAAAUUUUACGUGAUUUGGAUAUUUUUACACCGUUAAACUUGCAAACGGCUCACUAUGGCCAUUAAAAUUAUUGAUUUUGAGCCCCUUCGAUCACUGGCAAAUGAUAUCGAAAAAUCAUAAAAUUUAUUUUUUGGGUACUUUAAAUACUCUAGAUCAAGUUUAACGGAGCCGAUCGACGAUUCGAAAGUCGCAACAUCGAAAACGACGCGG